CUCAUCUCCAGUCUGGGAUUCUUUGUCUUGAUAGGUCUGGGUCCACAGAGCCAUUGUAUGACAGAUUACAGUCAAGUAGAAGAUGAAGUCAAAUUGUAAACGAUGCCUUUCUCAGCUGUGUUGACUGAUGUUGUUGUUCAGACAUGGAUGAAAUACUUUUAGAGGAGAUGUUGCCAAAGAUCUUGAUUGUAAUGCUAUUACAUUAUCUUUUUAAUUCUUAAGGGGUAUUUAGAAAUUUUGCUUGGUGGAUUGCAAAAUUAUCCUGUGCAUGUUGUAUCGAUUAGUGUCAACAGGAUUUAAACCAUUGAGGAUAUGUGUAAUUUAUCCCAACCCAUUUGAUUUUAUCAUUAAACCGAACCCAACACUAUCAGAAAAGAGGGAAAGUUCAACACGAAGUGGAAAUUUGCAUUUGACCCUAGAUUCCCAUCCCCAAAAAAACCCAUUUAAUCAUUUCAAAACGGAUGAAGUUAAAAUUUUAAGCUUAAGCAGGAACCAACUCCAUCUUUCAAGUGGCUUUCACUUGAUGUGUCCUUCUUAUUAAAAGUAAUGUAGCAGAUAAUCAAACGUCCCUCGUCGACCCCUGAUACACCCCUCUGAUCUUUGGCCCAUUUGAUCUCAUUCAUGAACGAAACCCUUCAUUUGUUUACGGUUUGGCCCGUCAGAUAUGAUGCUUUUCCAAAGCAGUGAGUCAUGGCUCCCGUCUCCUCAUGUUUUGCAGCGCUGUCCAAAACCUUGAAGGACUGGAGAGGGAAAAUAGACAUCCUGACAUCAAUGGCCCAGAGAUUCUCUGAUUUGUGUCCACGUCUGCAUCGGAAGCUUCUUUCAUAUCGUCUUGUGUUUACAGGACUGAAGAGGAUGAACACAAUAACAAAUAUAUGAUCCAUGGACUGCUACAGGAGUGAUUUCCUCUGCUCUUCUCCAGGGGUGACACUGAUGCUGCACAUCACUGAGGAAGGCCUCCAGCCACUCUCAGGACGCUGGAGCUCUUCAGCACCCCACUCACAUCUGUCUCCUCACGUUCCUCUCGGGGAGUCAGCCAAAAACACAUCACUCAGUCACAUCCCCGCAGACCAAGUGACCCAAGACAGCCAUGAGUGCUGUAGCGUCCAUCUGGGAUACAGCUACGCAGAGGUUGUUGUCUCAUUGUGUUUACUCAAAUAUGUCAUGUAAGUAGCAAAAUGAGGAUGUCAGUUUUGCCAUGCUGCUGCUUGUUUUCCUUUCAUUUAAUUUAUGUCAGAAAAAUACUAAGAAGUCAAUGGCUACCAUCAACUGCUUGGUUACCAACAUUCUUCAAAAUAUCUUCUUUUGUGUUCAACAGAAGGAAGAAACUCCUCAUACAGGAUAAGUAAAUGAUAACAGAUUUUUUAUUUUUGGAUGAACCUUCCCUUUAAUUCAUAAAGUUAUGUCAUUAAAUGUUGAAUGCAAUUCUAAAAAUGAGUAUCUUUCUGUGUUUUUGACAGGUUUUCCAAUAUGAAUUGAACAGCCCAAUCUCACGGCAGUUCAUACAUAUUUGACGAGAUUGUUAAUUCUUACGAAUUUGUAUGACCUCACUUGUACGAAUUUGUAUGAUUUGUGAAAAAAAUCGUACAGAUUUUAUGAGGUGGCAGAUUAGUAGGAAUUCAUAUGAAUGUCCACCCCAACCUUGUCCUAAACCUACCGCUCACAAGAAUUGUACAAGUGAGGUCAUAUGAAUUUGCCACCUUGUAAAAUACAUACAGUGGGGAAAAUAUCUAUUUGAUCCCCUGCUGAUUUUGUAAGUUGGCAAACAUGAAAGGUGUGUAAUUUUUAUGUUAGGCUUAUUUUAACGUAUAGAGACAGAAUACCAACCAAAAAAAAUUGUAAAGGUUGGAAAUUGAUUUGCAUUUCAGUGAGUGAAAUAAGUAUUUGAUCCCCAAGCAAAACAUGACUUAGUACUUGGUGCAGAAACAGUUGUUGGCAAGCACAGAGGUAAGACGUUUUUUGUAGUUGGUCACCAGGUUUGCACACAUCUCAGAAGGGAUUUUGGUCCACUCCUCUUUACAGAUUCUUUCUAAAUCCUUAAGGUUUCUUGGCUGUUUGGCAACUUAAAGCUUUUUUAGCUCCCUCCACAGAUUUUCUAUAGGAUUGAGGUCUGGAGCCUGGCUAGGCCAAAAAAUAUGGGAAAAAAUAUGUUACUGCUUAAUGUUGAUUGGUCCUUUUUUAACUUGUCCAAGUGUUUUGAGGAAGCAUCGUUAUCCAUAUAUUCUUACCUCUGAGUGCAGAUAUGUGUUUCCUGUGUGACUUUCCAUACAUCCUCUGAGAAGGUUCAAUUCACAUGCCACUCAGUGUAUAUAUUACAGCACUCAUGCAAUAGUACUUAAAUCGUCUCUUCCUGCUUGCUCUGAGAUUGAUGUUAUGUUUAGAGAAGUUUUUCUCUCCUCAACAUUCUGUUUAGUUAACACUGAAUUCCCUUUUCAUUCAUUAAUCUUUUGUUUAGAGAGAAAAAAAACACCUUUAAAGUCACAAAAAACGAGGGAACUCCAUAUCUGUAAUUCUCUGUUGGUGGGAUAAAAUGAUUUACUUUCUUUAAUGGAAUAUUUGUUUAUUCAUUUAUUCAUUAACUGUGUAAAUAUUUACUUAUUCACUAUUUAAUGGUUUAUUUAUUUAAAAAAUCCAUAAAUAAAGUAUUACAAAUACUAUUUUUAUUUUCUCCU
ensembl:lncRNA